AUUGAACGCUGGCGGCAGGCCUAACACAUGCAAGUCGAACGAGCGGCGGACGGGUGAGUAAUGUCUGGGAAACUGCCUGAUGGAGGGGGAUAACUACUGGAAACGGUAGCUAAUACCGCAUACCAUCGGAUGUGCCCAGAUGGGAUUAGCUAGUAGGUGGGGUAAUGGCUCACCUAGGCGACGAUCCCUAGCUGGUCUGAGAGGAUGAUCAGCCACACUGGAACUGAGACACGGUCCAGACUCCUACGGGAGGCAGCAGUGGGGAAUAGUGCACAAUGGGCGCAAGCCUGACGUAGCCAUGCCGCGUGUAUGAAGAAGGCCUUCGGGUUGUAAAGUACUUUCGGUGGGGAGGCGUUACCCAAAGAAGAAGCACCGGCUAACUCCGUGCCAGCAGCCGCGGUAAUAC
rnacentral:rRNA from 1 species